AUUGAACGCUGGCGGAAUGCUUUACACAUGCAAGUCGAACGGCAGCACGGGGCAACCUGGUGGCGAGUGGCGAACGGGUGAGUAAUACAUCGGAACGUGCCCAAUCGUGGGGGAUAACGUAGCGAAAGUUACGCUAAUACCGCAUACGAUCUACGGAUGAAAGCGGGGAUCGCAAGACCUCGCGCGAGUGGAGCGGCCGAUGUCAGAUUAGGUAGUUGGUGGGGUAAAGGCUCACCAAGCCAACGAUCUGUAGCUGGUCUGAGAGGACGACCAGCCACACUGGAACUGAGACACGGUCCAGACUCCUACGGGAGGCAGCAGUGGGGAAUUUUGGGACAAUGGGCGCAAGCCUGAUCCAGCCAUUCCGCGUGCAGGAUGAAGGCCUUCGGGUUGUAACUAGCUUUGUAC
rnacentral:rRNA from 1 species